UAGUGGUGGGUCGGUGGUGAGUAGUAACCCAGGGCUGGGGGUGAGUAGGGCCAGGUUGUGGUGAGUAGGGUUGGGUCAGGGGUGAGUAGGGCCAGGACAGGGGUUAGUCGGGCUGGGUCGGGGGUGAGCAGGGCUGGGUUAGGGGUGAGUAAGGGCAGGUCUGGUUGAGUACAGGUGGGUCGGGAUGAGUAGCACUGGGUUGGGGGUGAGUAGCACCCGGUCGGGGGUGAGUUACCCCCCCUAUGGCACAUACUGUAGACCUAUCUGUAGCAAGCUGUCCUGGCCUACAGCCAUCGUCCUCUCCCACUCAAACACCCAUUGAUAGGGAAUAACCCCACUGCCCACUCCUACUAAAAGACCCAUCUAUAGGUAAUAAUCCCACUGCUCACUCCCACUCAAAGACCCAACUAUAGGGAGUAACCCCACUGGCCAAAGCCACUGUACUACAAAAACGGCUCUACAGUAAUUAAACCCACCCCAACUCACCACGGAGUACAGUCCUCUGGCUAGUGUCAACACCUGAAUAUUGCUGGAAAUAAAUAGAUGUUUGAAAACUGUCAGCAAUGUGCAGGAAUUUUACUGGUGUCUAAAGGGUUAAAGCGUUUAGAAUCAUUUAUUUUAUUUUAUUUUUUGAUAUUUUCCCCCAUUUUCUCCCCAAUUUAGUCAAUAUACCAAUUCCCCUUGUGUAUCACGGUCCUGGUCGAUGCGCUAUCCUCUGUUGGUCUGGGGAGGGUGUAGACUACCACAUGCCUCCUUCGAUACAUGUGGAUUCACCAGCCCCGCUUCUUUUCACCUGACAGCGAGGAGUUUCACUGGGAGAGCAUAACGCGCGCGGAGGUUCACGCUAUCUCCCCCAGAUCCCCUCCCUGCUGAACAGGCGCCCCGACCAACCAGUAGGAGUUGCUAAUGCAACGAUCAGGACUCAUACCCUCACCGGCUUCCCACCCGCGAACACUGCCAAUUGUGUUCGUAAGAAUGUCUGACCAAGCCGGAAGUACCGCUGCCGGGGAUUGAACCCGGCUCUCUGUGGUAGUAGGCGAGUGCUUCUACCUCUACACUACCCACACGGCCCCGGAAUCAUUAUUGGACUCGGAUCUGAAACUCCUCCACAGGGAGCAAACACCCAGGUUUCCAUUGCUUUUCACAUAUCUGGCAUGCAUCCAUGUGGCCCCUGCGAGAACAAGACACCCUGUUCCCUUCCGUGUGUGUGUAUCAUGUGCUUGAAUGUCUGGUUCUGAUUGGAGGCCAGAUGAGGCUACAGACCCUAGGAGCCCCCAGUGCAGGAGCGGUGGAAUGAGCUGCCCCCCCGCGGUUGUGCGAGUGGUGUUGGGCGGGUCGGUGUGUCCUCAGGCGACUCUGGAACGCCCAUGCUGGACCACUUAGCGAUCCUUUGUUUCACGUCCCCCCCCCCCGCCGGGCACUGUGAGAGAGGGGUCCUUGGCAGCUCUACUGCAGUAUGUCGACAUCUGCAUGAAAUGUGUGGACCCUGUUACUUCUUUAUUUACUUAACGGUGAAAAGAAAGGAAGGGAGAGUUUUCAUUAGGCUAUGGGGAAUUCCAGGGUAACUGAGGUUAAAAAUGCAGACUGUUUUAAUGGCCGUAAAGUCCAAUAGACACUGAUGGUUGUAAAAGUAUAUAUCAGUCUUUAUUGUGUAGCUCUAUUGGACUUCACCAUGCACUUAUCCUGCAGUUGUAAUGUUGGUUACAGUGGCCUUACCUCUGAUAAAUUACGUAUUAUAUAUAAAUGUAUAAAGUGUCCUUUUGAAGUGAAGAUAUUUCGGAACAGGACAGCUAGAAGACUUCUAGCUCCUUCUCCACUUUACUCUUGAUUUGACACUGUCGCAUUAGUUAACUUGCUACCUAGAUAGCUAGCAGAACACAGGGAAGUGUAAGGAAAGGGCACCAACUCAGAGAGGGAGGACACUUGACCGGUAAUUGAAGUGGUCUGGCUGACAGUGUGGUAUAUGAGGUAGUUUAGGUGUGAUGCAGGUGUAUGUGGAAAGAUACAGGUGUAUGUGGAGAGAUACAUGUGUGUGUGUGUGUGUGUGGAGAUACAGGUGUAUGUGGGGAAAUGCAGGUGUGUGUGGGGAGAUAGAGGUGAAUGCGGGGAGGUACAGAUGUAUGUGGGGAGAUACAGGUGUAUGUGGAGAGAUACAGAUGUAUGUGGGGAGAUACAGGUGUCUAUAGAGAGCUGCAGGUGUGUGUGGGGAGAUGCAGGUGUAUGUGGAUAGAGGUGUAUAUGGACAGAUACAGGUAUAUGUGGAUACAGGUAUAUGUGGGGAGAUACAGGUGAAUGUGGGGAGAUACAGGUGAAUGUGGACAGAUACAGGUGAAUGUGGAUACAGGUAUAUGUGGACAGAUAUAGGUGAAUGUGGAUACAGGUAUAUGUGGACAGAUACAGGUGAAUGUGGAUACAGGUAUAUGUGGGGAGAUACAGGUGAAUGUGGCUAGAGGUGUAUGUGGGGAGAUA